ACCUUAUAUAGAUGUAGUAACGCAAGACAGUAACGCAUUUCCCUGUAAGGUAGUGUUAAGUAGAAACUUUAACGAUAAGUACUAUUGUGUAGCUUUUAAAGUUGAAAUAGUAUGAGUCAAAGUGGAAUAGGUUAACCGUAAGACCUUGAAUUGAAAAGUUCUAAAAUUAAUCUAGAGAAACAAAAGUUAUUUUGCUAUUUUCACUAUUUCUAGUUACGGUGAA
rnacentral:sRNA from 12 species